rnacentral:ribozyme from 2 species
ACCGUAAUGCAGCCUUUGACGGUCACAAGCCCGUAUGAGAAAUGCAGAGUGGGGA